AAAGAGAGAGCGAUUGAAAUGAACUUUAAUGGCGAACGAUGGUGUCGUGCGAUCUCUUCCCAGUCCUCUAGGAGAACCAGAAUUACGACAUGCAAAAGAAGGAACUUCCAAAGGAUCGUUUACGCAUGCAGCGUUACUUUUUACUAGGCGCAGCCUGCGACCGGCCAUGACAGCUUAAAAAACCAAUUCCCAAAGAAGGAAGGGAAAACUUCAUAAAAAUCAGAACCACCACUCGAGAACAACACCAAACAAGACUCCCACAGCAAAGAAAGAAGCCGCCUCUGACCAGCUCCGGAGAAGACAACAUGCCUCGGAAAGAGCAGAUUUCAGACAGAGUCACGACCUGUGCUGCGCUGUGACCACUCGAAACUGCACUCUCGGACACGGCUUUCCUUUCCUUUGUUUCCCUUCGCCCCCCCGUCAUUAUUACCAUUCUUUAGUCGCCAUGAUUCCCCACCUCCUUUUCCUCUUUCCUUCUUUCUGCUAGUGAGCAGUAGCAGUCAGGGGGAGAUGGAGAUGAGAGCAAAGGACCACUUUUGGACAUGUGGAGCCCGCGGGGCAUGGGUGUGGGACGGGCCCUUCUCCCACGUGAAGCCCACGAGGUAUGGCCUGCCCCUCCCCCGCCCCUCCCCUCUCCUGAUAGCUACUCCUCCUCCCCUCCCCACUUGCAUAUCCCGACGUUUCUCCUCUUUUUCUCCUCGCACCAUAUUAAAAGAUUCUCUCUUUCAACAUCAAAA